rnacentral:misc_RNA from 1 species
GAUGAAGAACGUAGCGAAAUGCGAUAAGUAAUGUGAAUUGCAGAGUUUUGUGAAUCAUCGAAUCUUUGAACGCACAUUGCGCCCGCUAGUAUUCUAGCGGGCAUGCCUGUUCGAGCGUCAUUUCAACCAUCAAGCCCCAGGCUUGUGUUGGAGCCCUGCGGCCGUCCGCAGCCUCCUAAAAUCAGUGGCGGGCUCGCUAUCACACCGAGUGCAGUAGUUUACUCUUCGCUCAGGACGUGUAGCGGGUUCCGGCCGUGAAACCCCCCAAUUUUCAAGGUUGACCUCGGAUCAGGUAGGAAUACCCGCUGAACUUAAGCAUAUCAAUAAGCGGAGGA